GACGAACGCUGGCGGCGUGCUUAACACAUGCAAGUCGAACGGAAAGGCCCUGCUUUUGUGGGGUGCUCGAGUGGCGAACGGGUGAGUAACACGUGAGUAACCUGCCCUUGACUUUGGGAUAACUUCAGGAAACUGGGGCUAAUACCGGAUAGGAGCUCCUGCUGCAUGGUGGGGGUUGGAAAGUUUCGGCGGUUGGGGAUGGACUCGCGGCUUAUCAGCUUGUUGGUGGGGUAGUGGCUUACCAAGGCUUUGACGGGUAGCCGGCCUGAGAGGGGGACCGGCCACAUGGGGACUGAGAUACGGCCCAGACUCCUACGGGAGGCAGCAGUGGGGAAUAUGGCACAAUGGGCGGAAGCCUGAGGCAGCAACGCCGCGUGCGGGAUGACGGCCUUCGGGUUGUAAACCGCUUUCGCCUGUGACGAAGCGUGAGUGACGGUAAUGGGUAAAGAAGCACCGGCUAACUACGUG
rnacentral:rRNA from 1 species